rnacentral:rRNA from 1 species
CCUACGGGUGGCAGCAGUGAGGAAUAUUGGUCAAUGGACGAGAGUCUGAACCAGCCAAGUAGCGUGAAGGAUGACUGCCCUAUGGGUUGUAAACUUCUUUUAUAUGGGAAUAAAAUGUUCCACGUGUGGGAUUUUGUAUGUACCAUAUGAAUAAGGAUCGGCUAACUCCGUGCCAGCAGCCGCGGUAAUACGGAGGAUCCGAGCGUUAUCCGGAUUUAUUGGGUUUAAAUGGAGCGUAGGUGGAUUGUUAAGUCAGUUGUGAAAGUUUGCGGCUCAACCGUAAAAUUGCAGUUGAAACUGGCAGUCUUGAGUACAGUAGAGGUGGGCGGAAUGCGUGGUGUAGCGGUGAAAUGCUUAGAUAUCACGAAGAACUCCGAUUGCGAAGGCAGUUCACUGGACUGCAACUGACACUGAGGCUCGAAAGUGUGGGUAUCAAACAGGAUUAGAUACCCGGGUAGUC